rfam:Vibrio cholerae O1 biovar eltor str. N16961 chromosome I, complete sequence.
CGUGUCGGCUGAAUCAGAGAUUGGCUGACACAAACUUAAACCUCAAACUCUUUAGGAGAGAAUUAUGUCUCUGAAUGCAGAAACUAAAGCAGCAAUCGUUGCUGAAUACGCACGUUGCGAA